rnacentral:rRNA from 1 species
UACGGAGGAUGCAAGCGUUAUCCGGAAUGAUUGGGCGUAAAGGGUCCGCAGGCGGCUGUGUAAGUCUGCUGUCAAAGAAUGAGGCUUAACCUUAUCAAGGCAGUGGAAACUACACAGCUAGAGUACGGUCGGGGUAGAAGGAAUUCCUGGUGUAGCGGUGAAAUGCGUAGAGAUCAGGAAGAACACCGGUGGCGAAAGCGUUCUGCUAGACCUGUACUGACACUGAGGGACGAAAGCUAGGGGAGCGAAUGGG